GACGAACGCUGGCGGCGUGCUUAACACAUGCAAGUCGAACGGUAAGGCUCUUCGGGGUACACGAGUGGCGAACGGGUGAGUAACACGUGGGUGAUCUGCCCUGCACUUCGGGAUAAGCCUGGGAAGCUGGGUCUUAUACCGGAUAGGACCACUGCCUGCAGGGGUGGUGGUGGAAAGCAUUUGCGGUGUGGGAGGGGCCUGGGGCCUAUCAGCUUGUUGGUGGGGGGAUGGCCUACCAAGGCGACGACGGGUAGCCGGGCGGAGAGGGUGACCGGCCGCAAUGGGACUGAGAGACGGCCCAGACUCCUACGGGAGGCAGCAGUGGGGAAUAUUGCACGGUGGGCGCAAGCCUGAUGCAGCGACGCCGCGUGAGGGAUGACGGCCUUCGGGUUGUAAACCUCUUUCAGCACCGACGAAGCGCAAGUGACGGUAGGUGCAGAAGAAGGACCGGCCAACUACGUGCCAGCCGCCGCAGUAA
rnacentral:rRNA from 1 species